rnacentral:misc_RNA from 1 species
AAGUCGUAACAAGGUCUCCGUAGGUGAACCUGCGGAGGGAUCAUUAGUGAAAUUUGAAAGCGUGCGGAUGUGCUGGCCUUAUGGCAUGUGCACUCCAAACGCAAUCCACUUACCCCUGUGCACUAUUGACCUUGACUUGCAUCGUGCCAACUUUGUUUGGUACGGCUAGUCUUGGUACUUUACACACUCGUUGUCUCAGAAUGUCACUUGUGCUUAAUGCGCAGAAAUACAACUUUCAACAACGGAUCUCUUGGCUCUC